UACGUAGGGCGCAAGCGUUGUCCGGAAUUAUUGGGCGUAAAGAGCUCGUAGGCGGCUUGUCACGUCGGAUGUGAAAGCCCGGGGCCUAACCCCGGGUCUGCAUUCGAUACGGGCAGGCUAGAGUGUGGUAGGGGAGAUCGGAAUUCCUGGUGUAGCGGUGAAAUGCGCAGAUAUCAGGAGGAACACCGGUGGCGAAGGCGGAUCUCUGGGCCAUUACUGACGCUGAGGAGUGAAAGCGUGGGGAGCGAACAGG
rnacentral:rRNA from 1 species